CGCGGCGCGGCCGGGGCCUUGGCGCCGGGAGCGAUCUUCACGCUUGGGGUUUUCGCCGGUGCGGCUUCGGCGGCUUCGGCCA
rnacentral:tRNA from 1 species